UUGACAAGAAAUUAUCAACAUAAUAUGAUAAAAUAUGUAUAAAAACAAUUCAAAUCAUUUUUGAUAAUAAUAAG
rnacentral:tRNA from 1 species